rnacentral:rRNA from 1 species
AGUGAACGCUGGCGGUAGGCCUAACACAUGCAAGUCGAACGGCAGCACAGUAAGAGCUUGCUCUUACGGGUGGCGAGUGGCGGAUGGGUGAGGAAUACAUCGGAAUCUACUUUUUCGUGGGGGAUAACGUAGGGAAACUUACGCUAAUACCGCAUACGACCUACGGGUGAAAGCAGGGGAUCUUCGGACCUUGCGCGAUUGAAUGAGCCGAUGUCGGAUUAGCUAGUUGGCGGGGUAAAGGCCCACCAAGGCGACGAUCCGUAGCUGGUCUGAGAGGAUGAUCCGCCACACUGGGACUGAGACACGGUCCAGACUCCUACGGGAGGCAGCAGUGGGGAAUAUUGGACAAUGGGCGCAAGCCUGAUCCAGCCAUACCGCGUGGGUGAAGAAGGCCUUCGGGUUGUAAAGCCCUUUUGUUGGGAAAGAAAAGCAGCAGGUUAAUACCCCGCUGUUCUGACGGUACCCAAAGAAUAAGCACCGGCUAACUUCGUG